rnacentral:rRNA from 1 species
CGAAGAAGGACGGGACUAACACCGAUAUGCUUUGGGGAGCUGUACGUAAGCGUUGAUCCAGAGAUUUCCGAAUGGGGGAACCCACUAUCUUUAGUCGGAUAGUAUCCUUACGUGAAUACAUAGCGUGAGGAAGGCAGACCCAGGGAACUGAAACAUCUAAGUACCUGGAGGAAGAGAAAGAAAAAUCGAUUUCCUGAGUAGCGGCGAGCGAAACGGAAAGAGCCCAAACCAAGAAGCUUGCUUCUUGGGGUUGUAGGACACUCUAUACGGAGUUACAAAAGAAAGUUAUAAAUGAAGCGGUCUGGAAAGGCCCGCCAAAGACGG